rnacentral:rRNA from 1 species
GAUGAACGCUAGCGACAGGCCUAACACAUGCAAGUCGAGGGGUAGCACAGAAUAGCUUGCUAUUUGGGUGACGACCGGCGCACGGGUGAGUAACGCGUAUGCAUCCUGCCUAUAAGAGGGGGAUAGCCUUUCGAAAGAAAGAUUAAUACCGCAUAAUACUGUUUGUCUGCAUGGACGAACAGUUAAACUACUUGGCUUAUAGAUGGGCAUGCGUUCCAUUAGAUAGUUGGUGAGGUAACGGCCCACCUAGUCUACGAUGGAUAGGGGUUCUGAGAGGAAGGUCCCCCACACUGGUACUGAGACACGGACCAGACUCCUACGGGAGGCAGCAGUGAGGAAUAUUGGUCAAUGGACGCAAGUCUGAACCAGCCAAGUAGCGUGAAGGAUGAAGGUUCUAUGGAUUGUAAACUUCUUUUAUAUGGGAAUAAAAUCAUCUACGUGUAGAUGCCUGUAUGUACCAUAUGAAUAAGGACCGGCUAACUCCGUGCCAGCAGCCGCAGUAACAC